UGGUCUAAAGUAGUACACUAUAUAUAGGGAAUAGGGUUCUAUAGGGCUCUGGUCUAAAGUAGUGCACUAUAUAGGGAAUAGGGUUCUAUAGGGCCCUGGUCUAAAGGGUGCCAUUUGGGAAGCAUCCAUGAGCUUCAAGAAAUAAUCAGUAAGCAAUCAAUCAAUCAAUCAAUCCCCACCCAUCAAUAUUACAUGUGCAUAGAUAUGCAUGGCACAGCUACUUCAAGCUGCUAUAUCGACUCCUUGUCAGUGUACUUGAAUGCCUUGUUGUGUACAGAUACACAAGCUGAAGCCCUCCAAUGGGAGCAAUACUGGAAUACAGGGAGGGGAGGGGUCUUAUUGAAUCAACCAAUCAUACGGAGACAUGGAGGGGUCUUAUCCAAUCAUAUGGUGAUGUGGAGGUCAAACUGUGAGAGACUGACUGGCUGGCUGGCUGGCUCACUGUCUGACAGUACAAUCAUGGACCCUAAUCAAUACUGUUGCUUGGCAUGGUUUGCACAUUGGGGCAGAUACCAGGUGGUACUAUAGGUUCCUGCACAUUGGGGCAGAUACCAGGGGGUACUAUAGGUUCCUGCACAUUGGGGCAGAUACCAGGGGGUACUAUAGGUUCCUGCACAUUGGGGCAGAUACCAGGGGGUACUAUAGGUUCCUGCACAUUGGGGCAGAUACCAGGGGGUACUAUAGGUUCCUGCCCAUUGGGGCAGAUACCAGCGGGUAAUAUAGGUUCCUGCACAUUGGGGCAGAUACCAGGGGGUACUAUAGGUUCCUGCACAUUGGGGCAGAUACCAGGGGGUACUAUAGGUUCCUGCACAUUGGGGCAGAUACCAGGGGGUACUAUAGGUUCCUGCACAUUGUUGUCAAGUGUGCGUAUUUGUUUUGAAACGCAGCGUCGUGACUAUAACUACUGUUCCAAGAAGGAGGGAAACGAGGUACAACACACUAUGGGGAGUCGCUCUUCAGGGUGAAGGAUCUAGAAUCACGCCUGACAAGGCCAAUUUACAUCCUCUCCUUGCUGGAAGCCACACCUUCCACAGGUGAUAAGCGUGAGGCUCAGAUUAAUUCCUUCAACUUAAUACCGCUCUUUACCGAGCCCAGGAACGGGCGGUGCAGGGCCAAACAGGUGUUGUACCUCGUUUCCCUCCUUCAGAGAACAGUAGUUAUAGUCAUAACGUUACGUUCCUUUCCAGUCAGUCAACUUCGGUACAACAUAUAAUCCCUCCCCAAGCCAACCCUAACGGAUACUAAAUGAACCUGACCCCCACCAGAUGCGGCAGUCUGGGUGUUACACACACGGUGCGCUGCCUAGUGACUUCCCCUUGUCCCCCGGGUCUCAGCCGUAAGCACACUGUGUGACAUCCAAGCGAUAAAACCUCACAAGUGUGUGGUGAUGCCCAACUAUCUCCUAUAGUCAACACUUUAAACACCAGCCGACACGUUGCCAGACUCCCGGUGGAGUGGGCACGUACACCGCGCUAGGUAACCCCUUGCUGCUAUAUGCCAGAGAGAGAGAGAUCCCCCACAAUCCAGUGGGAGAGACGCUGCUUAGAGAGCGUCCUGCUGGAUUAGCAAAACAGAAAAAA